rnacentral:rRNA from 1 species
AUACGUAGGUGGCAAGCGUUGUCCGGAAUUACUGGGCGUAAAGGGCGAGUAGGCGGUCUUACCAGUCAGAUGUGAAAGGCGGGGGCUCAACCCUCGGACUGCAUUUGAUACUGGGUGUCUAGAGUGUGGAAGAGGUAAGUGGAAUUCCGAGUGUAGAGGUGAAAUUCGUAGAUAUUCGGAGGAACACCAGUGGCGAAGGCGGCUUACUGGUCCAUUACUGACGCUGAGGUGCGAAAGCGUGGGGAGC